UACGUAGGGUGCGAGCGUUGUCCGGAAUUAUUGGGCGUAAAGGGCUCGAUAGGCGGUCUGUUGCGUCAGGGAGUGAAAACUCGGGCUUAACCCCCGAGCCUGACUUCUGAUACGGGCAGACUAGAGGUAUGCAGGGGAGAACGGAAUUCCUGGUGUAGCGGUGAAAUGCGCAGAUAUCAGGAGGAACACCGGUGGCGAAGGCGGUUCUCUGGGCAUUACCUGACGCUGAGGAGCGGAAAGUGUGGGGAGCGAACAGG
rnacentral:rRNA from 1 species